UACGUAGGGUGCAAGCGUUGUCCGGAAUUAUUGGGCGUAAAGAGCUCGUAGGCGGCUUGUCGCGUCGGCUGUGAAAACCCGGGGCUCAACCCCGGGCCUGCAUCCGAUACUCCCGGGCUAGAGGCAGGUAGGGGAGAGUGGAAUUCCCGGUGUAGCGGUGAAAUGCGUAGAUAUCGUAAGGAAGACCAGUGGCGAAGGCGGGUCUCUGGACAGUUCCUGACGCUGAGGCACGAAGGCCAGGGGAGCAAACGGG
rnacentral:rRNA from 1 species